AAUAACCCUAUGUCUAUAUCCCAUUCCGAUUCUUGUUUUCUUCCCCAUUUCUUUCUCCCCCGUUCCCCUUCCAACCUGCGAUUUCCAGGGUUUCGGCCACAUCUCCAACCGACGAUGGCGGCGUGAUAUGCGACGACCGCUUGAUCUCCGGCCGUGGAAGGUUUUCGAUUGUAUUGUUUCCCUGGUUUAUGGCUAUCCAAGAUAACUCCUCGAUCCUACAAAGCCAAUGAAUAAGAUAACUCAGAGACUCUUUGACGAGAUGACUAAUCAAAAUGGUAUAUCCAAAUCUUUGCUAAGAAAUCAACACCAAGUACAUUGUUCAGGAUUUCAUUGUGAUUUCUUCAAUAAUAUGUUUUUAAUUUUUAGUUUCUAUUUUUUUUAAUGAAAUGAGAAUUGAAUUAUUUGUAGAAAAUAUUGACUUUCAUGCGUAUUAAUCAGUACAUGUUUUCAAUUGCAGACAUGUGUUCUUAUAGUCCGUAUACAUUGUGAAGGUUGUAAGGAUAGGUCAGGAAGAAGGUGCAGAAGGUUCAAG